ensembl:lncRNA
UAGUAGUAGUAGUAGUAGUAGUAGUAGUAGCAGUAGUAGUAGUAGUAGUAGUAGUAGUAUAGUAGUAGUAAGGGUAGUCAUAGUAUUAUAGUAGUAGUAGUAAUUAGGAUGAUCAGAGUGAACUGUUAAUAUUUUGUUCAACAAUCUUUUUUUUUUUUUUUCAUUUAAUCCUGCCUUUCAGAAUCUAAAUAAGGUAUUUACAUGUCUCCCAGAAGACAAAAUACUAACAAUUUACACUGAUCAUCCUUUUCAAAAGUUUACACUCCCCUGGCUCUUAAUGUAUCGUGUUGC